AUACGGAGGGUGCAAGCGUUAAUCGGAAUUACUGGGCGUAAAGCGCGCGUAGGCGGUUUGGUAAGUCGGAUGUGAAAGCCCCGGGCUCAACCUGGGAAUUGCAUUCGAUACUGUCAGGCUAGAGUAUGGUAGAGGGAAGCGGAAUUCCAGGUGUAGCGGUGAAAUGCGUAGAUAUCUGGAGGAACAUCAGUGGCGAAGGCGGCUUCCUGGAUCAAUACUGACGCUGCGGUGCGAAAGCGUGGGGAGCAAACAGGAUUAGAGACCCCGGUAGUCC
rnacentral:rRNA from 1 species